AUUUAUAUGAAUUUAAGGGCAAAGGUCAAAAUUAGAGUAUAUCUGACAUAGACUUGGACCUCAAUUCAGUUUCAAACCAGGACUUAAAUCAAAGACCAAGGUCUUUAAUAUGUUGGUUUAUUAGUAUAGUACUUUACGCGUAUCUACAUGUAAGAUGGAAAUCUAUUUCCUGCCACUUUCAAUAAAAUAUACAAGUAGUGAAUGUCGUAACGUAAAUUAUUUUGUCGAUAUGUCAUUUAAGUAUUUGAAAUAAUGAAGAAUAGCCAAAAUAAUUUUAGAAUAUGACCUUUGACCUUUGCUUGCCUUUCAUUUUUAUUAUUUUGGACCAAGGAAGCUCAUCUGAAAGCCUAUUGUUUUAUCCUUAUGGUUACCAUUCUAAGAAAUGGUCAUAUCAAUUAUUAAGGGAAGGGAAUAACUCUCAUAUGGAGUCUCCGUAAUAGCUUCGGUCCAAAUGAUAUUCUAAUCUGAAGAUGUAACGAGCAAUUUGGUAAAAUAAAUUUGUCGUAUCUUUAAGGGUUGCGGAAGGAGUAGUGGCCACAAGAAAAACAGUGUUUGGGGAGAUAACUCUUAACGACGUAAGUAUUUGUUACAACAGUUGUAAAUUUUUAAGCGUAUACACUUACGAUACAUAUUCCAUAUCUAAGCGACAUCUUUGAACAUCAAUAAUCCGCCAAGAAAAAAAAUUAGGUCGGAAGAAAAAAAAAAAAACUUAAUAAUAAUUAAAAACCAAUUGUUCAGAGAACAAUUGUAGGUCUUUCCACUAGAAAAGAUCUUUUUUGAUAUUGAAAUAUUAAAAAUCAGUUUAAAAUGUUAGUUCCUAUGGCUGUAUGAUGUAUUUAUAUGAAUUUAAAGCAAAGGUCAAAAUCUAGAACGUCAUAUUAACCUAUGACCUUGACCUCAAUUUCAAGUUCACAAACCAAGGACCUUAAAUCAAAAGACCCAAGGUCUUUAAUAUGUUUGGUUUAUUAGUAAUAUCACUUUACGCGUAAUUCUAAAUGUAAGAUGGGCAAAAACUCCUAUUUAUUGUCUGCGCACCCUUUCAAUCAAAAUAUACAAGUAAGGACAUGUCGCAACUAACAAUUUAUGAAAAAUUAUUUGUCGAUAUGUCAUAAGGUAUUUGAAAAUAAAUGAAAAUAAGCCAAAAUCAAAAUUUAGAAUAUGACCUUGACCUUUGACCUUGACCUCAUUUUUAUUAUUUUCGACCAAGGACCCCAAAUCUAAAGACCCUAUGUCUUUAUCACUUACGGUUUACCAUUUAGAAAUGCAUAUCACUUAAUUUAAGGGAAAAGGGGGAAUAACUCUCAUAUGGAGUCUCCGUAAAGCUUCGGUCCAAAUGAAUAUCCUAAUCCUGAAGAUGUAACGAGCAAUUUGGUAAAAUAAAUUUGUCGUAAUCUUUAACGGUUGUGAAGGAGUAGUGGCCACAAGAAAAACAGUGUUUGGGGAGAUAACUCUUACAACGUAAAGUAUUUUGUUACACAGUUGUAAAUUUUUAAAGCGUAUAAACUAUACGAUACCAUAUUCCAAAUAUCUAAGCGACAUCUUUUGAAACAUCAAUAAUACGCAAGAAAAAAAUUAGGCGAAGAAAAAAAAAAAAAUAUAUAAUUAAGAAACGCACUUGUUAGAGAACAAUUGAAGGUCUUUCCACAAGUAAAGGUCUAUUUUGAUAUUGAAAUAUGAAAAAUCAGUUUAAAACGUUAGUUCCUAUGGCUUUAUGAUGUAUUAAUAUGAAUUUAAACCAAAGGUCAAAAUCUAGAACGUCCUUUUAACCUAUGACCUUGACCUAAAUUUCAAGGUCACAAAUCAAGGACCUUAAAUCAUAAGACCCUAGGUCUUUAAUAUGUUUGGUUAAUGAGUAAUACCACUUUACGCAUAAUUCUAAAUGUAAGAUGGACAAAAACUCCAAUUUAUUGUAUGCGCACCCUUUCAAC
rnacentral:lncRNA from 1 species